GAUGAACGCUGGCGGCGUGCCUAAUACAUGCAAGUCGAGCGAACAGACGAGGAGCUUGCUCCUCUGACGUUAGCGGCGGACGGGUGAGUAACACGUGGAUAACCUACCUAUAAGACUGGGAUAACUUCGGGAAACCGGAGCUAAUACCGGAUAAUAUAUUUAACCGCAUGGUUCAAUAGUGAAAGACGGUUUUGCUGUCACUUAUAGAUGUAUCCGCGCCGCAUUAGCUAGUUGGUAAGGUAACGGCUUACAAAGGCGACGAUGCGUAGCCGACCUGAGAGGGUGAUCGGCCACACUGGAACUGAGACACGGUCCAGACUCCUACGGGAGGCAGCAGUAGGGAAUCUUCCGCAAUGGGCGAAAGCCUGACGGAGCAACGCCGCGUGAGUGAUGAAGGUCUUCGGAUCGUAAAACUCUGUAAUUAGGGAAGAACAAAUGUGUAAGUAACUAUGCACGUCUUGACGGUACCUAAUCAGAAAGCCACGGCUAACUACGUG
rnacentral:rRNA from 1 species